rnacentral:rRNA from 1 species
ACCAUCUCUUACCCAUGUCUUUUGCGUACUUAACGUUUCCUCGGCAGGUCCGCCUGCCGUAGGACAAUUAUAAACCAUUUGCAGUUGCAGUCAGCGUCUGAAAAACAUAAUAAUUACAACUUUUAACAACGGAUCUCUUGGUUCUGGCAUCGAUGAAGAACGCAGCGAAAUGCGAUAAGUAGUGUGAAUUGCAGAAUUCAGUGAAUCAUCGAAUCUUUGAACGCACAUUGCGCCCCUUGGUAUUCCAUGGGGCAUGCCUGUUCGAGCGUCAUUUGUACCUUCAAGCUCUGCUUGGUGUUGGGUGUUUGUCCCGCCUUUGUGCGCGGACUCGCCUUAAAGCAAUUGGCAGCCGGCGUAUAGAUUUCGGAGCGCAGCACAAUCCGCGCUUUGUACUCAUUACGACGACAUCCAUCAAGACAUUUUUUAACUCUUGACCUCGGAUCAGGUAGGGAUACCCGCUGAACUUAAGCAUAUCAAUAAGCGGAGGAAAAGAAACCAACAGGGAUUGCCUUAGUAACGGCGAGUGAAGCGGCAACAGCUCAAAUUUGAAAUCUGGCGUCUUUGGCGUCCGAGUUGUAAUUUGCAGAGGGCGCUUUGGCGUUGGCAGCGGUCCAAGUUCCUUGGAACAGGACGUCACAGAGGGUGAGAAUCCCGUACGUGGUCGCUGGCCUUCGCCGUGUAAAGCCCCUUCGACGAGUCGAGUUGUUUGGGAAUGCAGCUCUAAAUGGGAGGUAAAUUUCUUCUAAAGCUAAAUACUGGCCAGAGACCGAUAGCGCACAAGUAGAGUGAUCGAAAGAUGAAAAGCAC